UGUACAAUAAUAUAUGAAAUUUUUUUGGCUUUUUUUUGUUAGCAAAAAAGUGAGAAAAAAUAGGGAAGUCCCCCAAGAGAAGAGGCUAAGGAAACGGAGAGAAAGCAAAAUGAUUUUCUUUUGGUUUUAUGAUGUUGUGAUUAUUAUAGAAGAGAGAAGAUAUGUUUGGUUUUGGUUUUUUUUUUUUUGGGAGGAUCUUCGUACUUAAUAUUGUUCUUGUAUAUAGGAGUUUUGGUGUGUGAAUUAUGGGGUUUUUAGG
rnacentral:lncRNA from 1 species